UCAUCUAACUUUCAGCCAGAAAGUGAAUAAUCUGAUUAAAGAAUAAGGAAACUGAGUGAAUCUGACCAUCCAAAGUCCACAACGGGGAAGAGGAUGACUCCUUUCUGUAUGUCAGUAGUUUAGAAAACACACACACAUAAUUAGAUAGUUUGCUGUCACCUCAAGCCAAACUAGCAGCAGGUGCUCUUUAAUGACAGGCGACAGCUGUACACACGCACACACACACACACGCACACACACACAGUGGCCCUGUAGUGGUGUGCAAACAUGACAGCUAGUUGUCAUCGUCCCCUCCCUCCCAGAGCUUUUGAGUAAGACGCACAAGAGAAAUGACGGCAGUGGGAGCCGUGAUCGAGCUUAGAUCUGAGUAGGUUCUGUCAUUCUGAGGACUGAGCUGAUGUGGAGCCAAAGAAAAGCACACUGGAAGAGGCCAAGAGCGCGAUUGCAGCUAGAAAUGUGUGGGAAUCAACUGUUUAUCUCGGUGGUCGGCAGAGGCUUAAAUAUCUGUUUGUAUGGAGAAUUAGAGGAAUCAAGUGUUUGUGUGCUUUUGUUCGUACAUUCUCCUGGAAGACAAAGCAGGACAGCAGGGCGGUGGCUUGUUCAACCGUCAGAUCAUUGAAGAGGCCGUUGAAAAUCAUCUCCGUCAGCAGGAGCUCGUCGCCACUGGAAGCAUGAAUGGCAACCCGACCUUUCACCUCGAUGACAUCAGAGGGACUGGCGAAGCCGAGGCGUCGCAGAACUCUCUUCCUGCACUUCAGCUUGUCCAUCUGCAGGACGGUCCGAGCUUUCUUCAGCUCUCGCUUGGCCGUUCG